GCUGGCAGGGCUUGGGGGACUUGGGGCAGGAGCUCUGCCGGGUCCUGGUUUCUGCCCUCGACAGCUCUAAGCCUGAGGGUGCCGGGCAGUUACAGGCUUGGGAGGGGGCUGCACUUCUGGGGCUGGGGCAGGGCAGGGUGGAAGAGGACCAGGACCCUGAGUCCCCCUGGACCCCAGGCAGGGCACUGGCAGCACCAGGUCCUGCCUUCAGGGACUCGGGCGGCCCACAUGGGCGCAGGGGCUAAUUGUAGCUGGUGCCCAGGAGUGCCUGCCCGCGGGCACAGGGGGAGCCAGGGCUGCUCGGGAGCGGUGCGGGAGGGUGGGUAGGGGAGGCCAGCCUCCUUCCUUCCAGCCCUUACCCCUAGCCUGGCCGCCCAUGGCCCUGAACAGCCCUCCCUGGCCUGGCAGACGGCCUUCCUCUUAGCGCAGGGCAGGGUCAGGGGUUGCGACCGGGAGGGUAGAGGGCCAGUCUUACUGUCUGGACAAGGGUUGCAUCACCCGGAGCCGUGCCUGGCAGCAGGGGGCCCUGCGAGGACAGCAAAGCCUGGCUUGGGGUCCAGAAGCCCAGGAAGCAGAGUCCCGAGCACAGGGAAGCAAGUCCAGAAAGCUGGGUCCUCCCUGGCCUCCUCGCGUGUGGCCGGCGACUCCCCGUUUGGCCUUAGCAGGGAGCUGCCCCCGAUGGGCCUCAGUCUUCCCAUCUGUAGGUUAAGUGCGCGGGGUUAGAAGGUCCACCUCAGGCCCGCUCCCGCUGUGUGACUGCGGCGGCUGCCCACUCCCCAGCCCUGGCUGCGGGGGCCACAUGCAGCCCUUGAGGAGAAAGUCUCUCUGGCUGGCGCUGUCGGCCUCCUGGCUCCUCCUGGUCCUCCUGGGAGUCUUCCCUCUUCUCCGCCUGGCAGUGCCCUCCAGACCUCAGCCGGGGGCCUCCCCGGGCUGGCCCCACUGGCUGGACGCAGCGCUCCUGCAGAGCUUCUCCCAGCCUGGGGAGCCCUCGGGAGAUGCCCCUCCGCGUCCUCAAGGGCCCCGCCGUGGCAGUUGUACCUGGGACACCUGCGUUGACACCUCCAGGUGCAAGGAUGGCCUCACGGUGUUUGCGUACCCAGCGGCUGGACUGACCUCGGAGAGGCACCGCGGGGUCCUGGCCUCCCUGGAAGGCUCCCGCCUCCUCACCUCCAGCCCCGCCGAGGCCUGCCUCCUCCUCCUCCUCUGCUGGGACAGCCCGGCUGGACGGUGCAGCCCAGGGCCUCCACCCUGGAAUGCAGGCAGGAACCAUCUGGUCCUCCGUCUCCACCCAGCCCCCUGCCCCGGGGCCUCCCAGCUGGGACAGGCCAUGGUGGCUGAGGCCAGCCCCAAGGUGGACACCUUCCGUCCCCGCUUCGACGUGGCCCUCCCGCUUCUCCCUGAAGCUCACCCACUGCGAGGUGGGGCCCCUGGCCAGCUGUGGCAGCACAGCCCCCAGCCUGGGAUCGCCCUGCUGGCCCUGGCAGAGAAGAUGGGCAGGUGGCGCGUGGUGGCAGACAUCCGCUCCCCUGCCUGGGGCUGGGAUGGGCACUGUGAGCAGGACCCUGGACCUGAGCCGACACGCCCAGGGGAAAGGCCACCCAACGCCACGUUCUGCCUCAUCCCUGGCCUCCGCACUGAAGCCUGGCGCUUUCUGGAAGCCCUGCAGGCUGGCUGCAUUCCUGUGCUUCUCAGUCCCUGCUGGGAGCUGCCCUUCUCGGAGGUCAUUGACUGGACCAAGGCCGCCAUUGUAGCCGAUGACAGGCUCCUGCUUCAGGGGCAGUCAGAGCCCAGCGAGGUCCCAGGCCGCCUCCUCUUCUCCCUCUGUGCCCAGGUCCUGGCUGCCCUCCAGGAGAUGUCCCCUGCUCGGGUCCUCGCCCUGCGUCAGCAGAGCCAGUUUCUGUGGGAUGCCUACUUCUCCUCGGUGGAGAAGGUCAUCCGGACCACUCUGGAGAUUAUCCAGGGCCGGAUCCCGGGAGCACCCGCUCAGCCCUCUCUUCUGUGGAACAGCCCCCCGGGAGCACUCUUGGCCCUACCUACUUUCUCUCUGAGCCCCCAGGACUUUCCCUUCUACCACCUGCAACUAGGCUCUCGCCCUGAGGGCAGAUUCAGCGCCCUGAUCUGGGUCGGGACCCCUGGCCAGGCCCCCCUGAAGCUCAUCCAGGCGGUGGCAGGCUCCCAGCACUGUGCCCAGAUUCUGGUUCUCUGGAGCAGCGAGAGGCCAGUCCCAUCCAGGUGGCCCGAGACAGCAGUGCCCUUGACAGUCAUUGAGGGGCACAGAAAGGUCAGUGACCGCUUCUUCCCGUACAGCGCUGUCAGCACGGAUGCCAUCCUCAGCCUCCAGGGCCAUGUCAGUCUUUCCACAAGUGAGGUGGACUUUGCCUUUGUGGUGUGGCAGAGCUUCCCAGAGCGGAUGGUGGGCUUUCUGACGUGGAGCCACUUCUGGGACGAGGCCAGGGGCGGCUGGGGCUACACUGCUGAGAUGGCCAACGAGUUCUCCAUGGUCCUCAGCACAGCUGCCUUCUACCAUAGGUAUUACCACACCCUCUUCACCCACUCCCUGCCCAAGGCAAUGAAGACCUUAGCAGAUGAGGCACCCACCUGUGCAGACGUCCUAAUGAACUUCCUAGUAGCAGCAGUCACCAAGCUGCCCCCUAUCAAGGUGCCCUAUAGCAAGCAGCAUCUGGGAGCUGCAGCACUGGCUCCUGGUCCCGGGACAGAGUCGCAGCCCCCAGACCCGGACUGCAUCAACCAGAUGGCGACAGAGUUCGGUCACAUGCCCCUGGUAUCCUCUCGCGUACGUCUGGACCCGGUGCUGUUCAAGGACCCGGUGUCGGUGCAGCGCAAGAAGUACCGCAGUCUGGAGAAACCCUAGGAGACCACAGCUUGCGGGCCGCAUUGCACCUGCCUUCGGGACAGCGGAGAUCCAAUCGAGACGGACAGUCGGCCAAAUGUCAGAUCUGGCUCCGCCAAUCACGGCCAGGGCGCCCCGAGGGGCGGGGCCUCCCCUUCCGUCCCCUCCCGUCCCCUCCCUUCAGUCCUGCAGGGCUGGGGGUGCGCCCCACUCGGUCGCUGCUCCUGUGCCUUCGCGCAGGCUCGUUCUCGUGCCUGGAAUGCCUGCCUUUACUUCCCCGCCGAGUUGAUGUCCACCUGUCUUUCAGGUCCUUGCCCUUCAUGCCGGAUGGGUUCGGUCUCCUGCUUAGAACUCGCGCAGUCCCGGCAGUGUGCGCGCUGGCUGGCUGUGGGUACACCGUCGGGUCUCAAGACCCGCCUGGGAGCCCCGGAGGGUGGGUCGUGUCCUCUUCUCUCUGGUCUGGCAGGACGAUGAAAGGAACCACUCUCCAGCAACCACUGGUGCUUGGCAGCCUACGCUGUCCUCACAACAAGCCCCUGUGAGGAGACUCCGCGAGGGUAGAACCGAGCUUUUUGCUCACCCUAGAACAGCACCUGGAGCACAGGAGGUCCUGGACCAGCGCUUGUUCACUUUGGUCAGCACCCAGACAGUCCAGACUGACCCUGACCAGAUAGACACCUGCGACCUUGGCCCAGGACCCAAGGCCACAAGCAUGCACCAGCCUGGGUGAAGAGCUGGUGAUUCAGGGCAGCCCCCCUCCAGAGGCAGGGCGAGGUUCGGGCCCUGUGAUGCUGCAGGGAAGGCCUGCAGGGGCCUUGUCCCCCACGCUGACCAUCCCCUUCUGAGCCUCCGUCUGGCCCCUGAGCCGUGGGAGCACAACCUGGCCCUCUCUUCCUGGGGAGGGUAACUAGAGACGGAGGACGUGCCUGGGGUUGGCCUGGAACUCUAGGUGCUACAGACAUCACCCAGAAGCCACCUGAGUAGGCAGGGGACAUGCCCAGUGGGGGAGGAGGCACCCUUGGGCUGGGGACAGUUCCAGGAACUGGGAUACCUGAGGGCCCAGCUUAGGCCAAAGAUCAACCUGGGGCCCCAGGAAGAUUUCCACGGAAUGACAAGGUCCAGAUUCUGCUGCCAACAAGGUGCCAAAGCCCCCCCUCCCCCCAUUUAAGGCUGCUAAAGCUUGAGAGCCAAGCGCCAAAAGGAAGCCCCAAAUCCAAGUUACCUUCCAUCAGCACCAGGAUCACAUCCCUCAGGAUGGUCAAGGUGGUUCCCAGCACCAGGAGGGAGAAGAGGAAGGUGCAGAUGGGGUCCACAUACUUGUACUCUGGCUACAAGAGAAGCAGAAGGCAAAUUUGGGGUUCAGCCACCUCCUCAGCUUCCCUUCUCCCCUCCGACCCAGCCCUGUCAGGGAGAGGGGUUCCCUGUCAGAUGGACGUGCCUCCCAGUCUCUCCUCUAUAUUCCAGAACAGGCAGGACAGACCACAGCACAGGCCCAGGCCCAGGCCCUUCCUACUUAUCCUUCCCUGAAGGGCUGAGACAUGGGCAGAGCUAAAAACUAAACAAUCUCAGCAUCCGGUCCACCGCCCUCACUUUACAGAUGGAAAAUUGAGACUCAGUGAGAGUAAGCAACUCGCUCAGCAUUACACAGCUUCAAAUCAAAUGCCUGGCCCUCCUACAAUGCCUCGUGGCCUCUGUGACGGGCAACACACAGUCCCGAGCUGGAACAUGGUUCCACAACUAACCAGCUGUGUGCCACUUUGCAAAUCACCAAAACACUCUGAGCUGCACAAAACACUACCACCAACCACCCUUCAGGGUUGCGUGAAGAUCAGAGGUGCUGAUUUUUGGCAGGCAUUGGACAAACAUUCCUUCUCUCUCCCCAGCCUUUUGCCACAAGCCAGGAAGGAGCUAGAAUCUGGAAAGGGCCAGGUGCAGAGAGGAGCCCCAGGUGAUCUACACUCCCCUGUCCUUGCCCCACCCUCCUUCCUGUUCCCGGCUCUGACCUUGAAGUAUAAAAUAUAGGCUGCCACCAGGACACCCAAGCUCUGCAAAAAGUCCCCAAUCACGUGGAUGAAGGCGGCUCGGACACUGGGGUUCUCUUGCUGCUGGUUGGCGUCGUCAUGGCUGUGUCCAUGGCUGUGACUGUGCCCAUAGCCAGAUUGGUGAAGUGUCAACCCCAUUCUACAGAAGUGGAGACAAAGCCCGAGGCUCACCGAGGUAGCAGCAGAGGCUUCAAAUCACCCAAAACUGCGGGGCAAAAAUCUUAAGCCCCCACACUCUAGCCAAGUGAGAGCCCAGCCCGUGUGGUCUCAGUUCAGAGCACGAGAAAGGGCUCGGCUCCAAUGCCAGGCUGAGUCCGGGCAUGGCAAUGCCCAAAGACAAGCUCAGAACAGGAGGGCAGGCGGAUCAUCUAGUUCAACCACCAUGUCACAAAUGGGGAAACCGAGGCCACUGCACAAGGGAGUGAGCCCAAAUGACACUCCCUUACUCUACACAACACUGUUUCCACUGAGACCGGUUCAGUCACAUCAGCUUGAAAAAAGAUCUGGAUUAUGCCCGUAGGGACAUCUGCACCAACCAAACUCAUCCCUUCCCACUGCAGGGAGAUCCGUGGCAUGGCCUCCUUCCGCCAAGAACAGGCCAAGGUACAAAGGGGCCACACACAGGGAAUCACACUCACAUGAUGUUCACGGCCACAGCACAACCUGACGUGAUCAGCAUGGUCCCCCCUUCGAUCUCGUAGUCCCCAGAGACCAGUCGCUCCGCAGCCAGCCCAACAGGGGUCCUCACCAGCUCGUUGCCAGCCGAAGUUCAUGGUCUUGGUGGCUGGUCGGGAGGACAUCCAGAGGGAAAAGAGACUGAUGAGCAUGCUGGCAAAGUCAGUGAGCAGGUGGGCUGCAUCUGUCAUGAUGGCUAGGCUGUGCGCCAGGUACCCACCUACAAGGGCAAGACCAGGAGGGUGAGGGUCCUGAUCAGUCCCCCAAAGAGCCAACUCCCUGGGCUGUGCAUCAGGGAGACCCACAGGUUCUGGAAAAAGACACCAAGUUCAAGACCUCUCCACACAUUAACUGUACAACCACAAGCAAGGGAUUUACACUCUGAGCCUCAACUUCCACUCUCUGUGAAAAGAUGUGUUAACAUCUUAGAAGGCCUGGAGUAGUGACCUUGGGAACUGGCCAAGGGGCAGGCCGUCCAGUCGAGCGAGGAGAAAGAAGGGAGUCCAACAGGUGCUGCUUCUCCAUGGCCUCCAUGGGAACCCGCGCGCCCCGAACUGGGUCCUGAAGCCGUGAGCUCUAGAAGUUGUGCGCGGAGGUCUCGGCCGCACCGCACCCUGCCACCUGUCACGAGGUCCCUGCCGCCGCGCCCGCCGUCCCCUGCAGCGGCCGCUCUCGCCCAGGGCGCCAGCUCUCCACGUCUCCGAGCCAGCCGCUGCGCUCCGCGCCCGCCCGCCGGCUUUAUCCCGGUCUCUUGCCACCCCGUGUGAAGCAGCCCGCCGAGCGUCGUGUGCAAAACCGGCGGGGAGGGGGAGGGGCCGGCUGCAAAGGGCGUCCCGGCGCUGUCGGGCGCACCGGUUCCCAGCGCCCCUGAGCCCCCAGGAGCUGCCUUGCCUGAGACCAAAAAGCCUAGCCGGCUUAGCGCGGCGCGGUUGCUUGGUGUUGCUUAGGACUAGGUGACAGUUGCGCGCCUUCUUCCGCCCCACGGAAAAGUUAUGGGGUCUUUGUUUCUAGAAAUCCACUUUGAGAGCAGGAAUGUGGCUCAACGCUUCGGAAUAGGUACUCCGGGGGCUACGGUCGUUUCUCCCCCGACUCAGACUGGAGACUGCUCUGGGCUUGAUCAUUUUUACCCCUCCUGGGGGGGUGACUUCUGAAGUCGUCGUGCGUUCUUCCCCUCCAACUCGGGUGGAGGCUAAUCCUGAGGGCGGAGCAUGAUGCUAAAUUGCUGAGGUUGGACUUGAACUUGCAAUCCUCCUGCCUCGGGCUCUCGAGUCUGAAAUUACAGGCAUGCACCGUCGCGUCCGACUUAGUGCAUCUUCUCUUUACCCGCCCUGAUUAGAAUCCGAAGUGAAGGGCUUUACCACCAACCCUACAGAAUUCGUGCUUGGGCAUCACAGAUGUGUAGUGUCGCGUUCAUUAACAACUGCCACCUGGGCAGAACUGAACCAUCCCUUCUUCGGUUCCACCCAGCCCCCUCACCAGGAGCCCAGAAAAUCGGACAAGCAAACUCCUGGAAGACGCAGGCAGGAGGAGCCAAGCAUGGUGCCCCACCCGCUUAAGGACGCUUAAGGCAGUGCCCUACUACAAUUAUUCCUGUGGCCCCCAUGCUGGCCUACGAGGGCUUUCAAGGUAGAAAGUAUUUCUUGCUGGCUACCUCCCUGCCGGUCAGGUCUCCAACAAGUUCUUUCUGCAUAGAGAACCCCCUUCUGCCCCCAUGGGAAUUGGUUUCUGCAUAGUAAAAUUUGAGGAUCCCUGCAUUAAGUCUUGCAGGUCAUCUCAGACAGGUAAUCACCUGUCCUCCUCACUAGAUUAUAAACUCUUCAAGAGCAGGGAUGAAUUUGGUACUGGUGACAGUUCAGUUCAGCUCUGUAUCAAAACCAUCAAUUAAAAAUGUUCACCUAUAACACUACUACCAGGAAUUUACAUUAAGGAAAUAAAAGACUCUUCAGUUAAGGAAUGUCGAUCAUAACUGGGCUUGGUGGUACACACCUGUAAUCUCAGGUCCUCUGGAGGCUGAGGCU